UCGCGCGGGCCAAUGGUACUCAGUUGAAACACCAAAGGCGCAAAAAACAUAACUUGAAACUGUGCGGGAUUACGGGCGAGACUCUCUGCUCGUCCCUCCAUCCCCGGGUGUUAUACCAGGCAUGCCGGGGGCCUCGCGCCCUCGGUGCCAUAACAUACCGCGAGUGUGCAGGAUGUGACCCGAAAGAUGGUGAACUAUGCCUGAUCAGGUUGAAGUCAGGGGAAACCCUGAUGGAGGACCGAAGCAGUUCUGACGUGCAAAUCGAUUGUCAGAAUUGGGCAUAGGGGCGAAAGACCAAUCGAACCAUCUAGUAGCUGUUCU
rnacentral:rRNA from 1 species